rnacentral:rRNA from 1 species
GAUGAACGCUGGCGGCGUGCCUAAUACAUGCAAGUCGAACGCGAGCAGCAAUGCUCGAGUGGCGAACGGGUGAGUAAUACAUAAGUAACCUGCCCUGGAGUGGGGGGACAACAGUUGGAAACGACUGCUAAUACCGCAUAAGCCCACGGCCCGGCAUCGGGCUGAGGGAAAAGGAUUUAUUCGCUUCAGGAUGGACUCGCGUCCAAUUAGCUAGUUGGUGAGGUAACGGCCCACCAAGGCGACGAUUGGUAGCCGGACUGAGAGGUUGAACGGCCACAUUGGGACUGAGACACGGGCCCAG